AUGCUUCGUCGCGCGCGCGCUGCUGACAACGAAGAUUACCGAAUGUCUGCAAGCAUGGACACCGAUGACGAAAAUACAUCUGAAGAGGAACAUAUAAGAUGUGAUGUAGAUAGAGUGGUACGGGGGCAGGGAGGCAGAGGUCAAAGAAGAGUAAGGAGAGCAGGACGCAUGACCAGAGGUAGAGGGUUGACAACGCGUCGAAGUCGUGGACGUGGUGGACAAGAUCAGACCCCCAACAGAGCUGAAAUAGCAGCAACUGCCAGAGUAGAAAGAUCCACAGAAUUGAAGGCAAGGAGCGCAUUAAUAACCUUCCAGAAGAAAACGUGCGAGAGCUGCUCUUUGAUGUCACCAAAAAGUAUCCAGCUUUAG
rnacentral:misc_RNA from 1 species